UGUGAUUUUUCCAAGGCUCACUGCGAUGACAAAUCUAUCCACGUAGCAUCACACUCAGCUUGUCCAACGACCACCGCGCCACCGCCUACCACCGCGCCACCUGGCGGUGUUGUGACGAGCCACCCUCUUCCGAGCACUCUUGCCCCUAUCUUGCACGGAAGCGAGGCUGUGCUGGACUUUUUCUGUUUUAAUCUUGCCUUUAAAGCAUGUGAUGCUGCAUCAAACCCAGUGUGUGGCAAUGAUACGAUAACCUACACUAAUCCGUGCGAGUUUGAGAAAGCCCGGUGUACGCACCGCUCCAUACAUAUUGUUCACUAUGGUAACUGCAGUGGAAACCCCUUCCACCCAUGAAUAAAGUGACUU
rnacentral:misc_RNA from 1 species